GCAUUAAGAACGGGAUGAACUUCAUAAAAUCAAAUAACAAUUACAAUGAAAUCGAAUCCAGGAGUACAAAGGUUAUAAAAUUACAUUUCGAAUCUCACAACAAGAUCUAAUCACUCCUUCUCGCUAUUACAAUACUCGAAUCAUGAAAUUAUAUAAGAAAUAAUAUGAAGUAAAAUCGUUUCCACGAUUUCUAUCAUAAUCUCCCUAUGUUUCUCUCUAUUUUCGUGCUGAAUAUCUUCUGAAAAGUGAAUAGCAUCCCCUUUUGACUUCCGAAACCGCCAAUAUCAGUUUCAACUUCCACACCCUCGUCCAAGCUAGGGAUUCUCGCUUGGGUGAGUAAAUAAGAGUCUCUCAGACCUGAACAUCUCACUUGAGCGAGGCAUCCCUUGCUUGGGUUAGGAUCCUUCGCUUAAGCGAGGAUAGGACAACAGUUAUUUCUCGUGAUUCUCUCCUAUUUGUGGCUUGGGCGAGGCUUGCGGUGCUCAGAAGUAUCAAUCUUCUACUCUUUCUCCUUUUUUUUCAUAAUUCUUAUCCUGAAACAACGUAAACACAUAAAAUUUCUUACACAGAACAAAAUUAUUAAAUUAUCAGUAAUCUUACACCCUUACAAUAUAAAUGUGCACUAAAUACCCAAAAACAUAUGAUUUUUUUUUAACAAUUUAGUACUUAACACGUGACAUAACUAUCUUUAGCUACACUUUUAACAGCUAGUUUUGUGACUGUAACAUGCUACCAAACGUCCAAUAGAACUGAACUACUGACACAUUCUUAGCCAGCAUUUUUUCUCAUGAUUUCACAAAACCGCAGUAGACUAGAACCUUAAUCAUAAUGGAGUAUAAUAAUAGUAAUAAUAAUGAAUAAAAUAGCAGAGAAAGCACAUAUAUGACAGGGUAUGGUGCCACCCCAAUAAGAAAGGUACAAAAGGGUACGCGACCCAUGAUUUGGUCACCUGAAAGAGAUCUUAUGCACAGAGAGGAAGAUCUGUGCGCACCAAAAUGCAUAGGCAAUCUAGGGUUAUUAAAUUGAUUAAAAUAUGCAUAUCUCUUACCUUUUGUUUGGAGUGGAAGGAAUGAUCAUCAAGCCCAAUAAUCAAGUUCUUCCUUUCAUCCCAAUCCCAUUGGGUAUAACCUUUUGGGCACUAAAUGCUUUCUUUGGUUUAGGGAUGAAAAAGGUAGAGAGAAAAUAAAAAGAUAGAGUAUGAGUAGAGAAAAUAAAGAAAGAAAGAUAAUGAAUUCUAAGGGUUAUUUGGUAUGAGAGAAAAGAGAAAGAGAUGAAUUUUGUUUGAAUAUACAAUAAUACUCUUGUUACAUUAACUUGUAGAAGUGAGUUUUAAGAGUAA
rnacentral:lncRNA from 1 species